GAGAAGGAAAAUGAAC
rnacentral:sRNA from 1 species